CUGGCCCUGAGUAAAGGCCAGCAGCUCUGAUGUUGGUUUCAAGUAAGAGUCUAAAGAGAAGUCUUUCUAUGGUCUGUUGGCCAUUUCAGAACUCAGGUAGUGAAAUGGUCAAUUGAUUAGAAAGAAACAGCU
ensembl:snoRNA small nucleolar RNA SNORA2/SNORA34 family